UACGUAGGUGGCAAGCGUUGUCCGGAUUUACUGGGCGUAAAGAGCGCGCAGGCGGUCGUUCAAGUCGCGUGUGAAAGCCCCCGGCUCAACUGGGGAGGGUCACGCGAUACUGAUCGACUCGAAGGCAGGAGAGGGAAGUGGAAUUCCCGGUGUAGUGGUGAAAUGCGUAGAUAUCGGGAGGAACACCUGUGGCGAAGGCGGCCCCCUGGUCGGAUACUGACGCUGAGACGCGAAAGCGUGGGUAGCAAACGGG
rnacentral:rRNA from 1 species